CAAAAGACUCUCGGCAACGGAUAUCUCGGCUCACGCAUCGAUGAAGAACGUAGCAAAAUGCGAUACUUGGUGUGAAUUGCAGAAUCCCGUGAACCAUCGAGUUUUUGAACGCAAGUUGCGCCCGAAGCCUUUUGGCCGAGGGC
rnacentral:rRNA from 1 species